CUUAUAUUUUUCAUCUCUGAUGACGACAGUCGUUUGAUGAUCAGGGAUUGAAGACCAUCGUUAGUUGUAUUUGCACACUUGACACAGAGAAGGCAAAGUAAUAGCACAUUGAAGGGACAUAUUAAGAACAAGAAAUAAUCACGAUGUAUCAUCUAAGGGCGAUAACUCUUGUCUUACUGUUGUCCAUCAUGGGCGUAAGCAGUGCAGGCGCAGGUGAUCAAGGACGUGACAACGCUAUUAAAAAUCGUUGGAAUGUUCCCUUGUUCUGGGGAUUAAAAGUAGUAAAGAACGAAUUUCCAAGAUACCACGAGACACCCCUAGGAAGUUUGGUACCAAAAUGGCUUCAACAUGUUAAGGGCAACCGAUUCUUUAAACUGGGAUAUCAUUGAACUUCAAGAGCUUUUUAAUAUAUUAUUUAGUAAAAUAAUAAUAAAAUAAAUUCGGCAAUAAAAUGAUAUUUGAAUA